AUGUCGUCGUCCGACGCCGCCGCCGCCGCCCCGCCCGACGACGACGCCAAGCUCCAGUGCUUCCUGCAAUGGCUCCAGGCCAACGGCGCCGACCUCCGCGGUUGCACGAUCCGCGCCUGCGGCCGCAAGGGCUUCGGCGUCUACGCCACCGCCCCCGACGCAGCCGCCGCCGACGGGGUGGUGAUGGCGGUGCCGCUGGACCUCGCCGUCACCCCGAUGCGGGUGCUACAGGACCCGCUCGUUGGCCCGCGGUGCCGCGCGCUCUUCGAGGACGGCGGCGUCGACGACCGCCUCCUCGUCAUGCUCUUCCUCAUGGCCGAGCGCCUCCGCCCCACCUCCCUCUGGAAGCCGUACUUGGAUGUGCUCCCGAGCACCUUCGGGAGCUCCGUGUGGUUCGACGACGAGGAGCUCGCCGAGGUGGAAGGGACGACGCUGCACCGUGCGACCGUCAUGCAGAAAAAGUCACUACAAGCAUUGUUCAAUGAUAAGGUGAAAGCUCUGGUCGAGGAGCUUCUACAUAUCGAUGAAGCAGGAAGCUCAAUUGAAGUGCGGUUUGAGGACUUCCUUUGGGCAAACUCGAUUUUCUGGACUCGAGCGCUCAACAUCCCAUUGCCUCAUUCAUACGUUUUUCCGGGCUCACUUGAUGGACAGCAGAUCAGAACUGGGGAAGUUUUGGGUGAUUCUGAUCUCACCACCCAACAGGAAACUGACACUACAACAAAGAAUAGUAGCUGCGACGAGAAUUCUGAAUCUCAUAAUAUGGAGUCAAUAUGGGUCGAGGGCCUCGUGCCAGGAAUCGAUUUCUGUAACCAUAAUGUAAAGGCUCUGGCGACAUGGGAAGUUGAUUCGGAGGGAAAUUUAACAGGAAUUCCUGCUUCAAUGUACCUCAUACUUGCGCAAGCUGGUAAAAGCUCUGUUGAGACUGGGACAGAGAUCUACAUAAAUUAUGGCAACAAAGGAAAUGAGGAACUGCUAUACCUAUAUGGAUUUGUGGUUGACAACAAUCCAGAUGAUUAUCUCAUGGUUCAUUAUCCAGUAGAAGCUCUUAGACAGCUUCAGUCUGCUGACAUUAAAAUGAAGCUAAUUGAGAUGCAGAAGGCUGAAUUGAGAUGUCUUCUACCUACAAGUUUGCUUGAUAGGGGAUUUUUCGGAACCAGUACCAGUUCUGGUGAAGAUGAUGAUAACAAGAAAAAGCAUUUUUCUAGUUACAGUUGGAGUGGUCAACGCAAAGUUCCAUCAUAUCUCCAAAAAAAUGUUUUCCCUCAAGAAUUUUUAAGUACUCUUCGCACAAUUGCCAUGCAAGAACAUGAACUUGAACAGGUUGCUUCCCUGCUUGGAGAGGUUGGGUCUAGUGAGGAUGGAGAACCAUCUGAUGCAGAGAUCAAAAGCGCUAUAUGGGAGGUGUGCGGUGAUAAUGGAGCGCUAGGAUUGCUUGUGGAUCUUCUUAGGGUGAAAAUGGCUGAACUUGAAGAAGGCACUGGAACAGAAGCAUCUGACAGUCAACUGCUGGAGAAAUUUGAUUCCAAUGAUCCAGACGACUCCUCGAGUGCAACCGUCGAGAGCAUCGAAGCGACGAAGUCAAGAGUGAACAGAAGGUCGUGUAUAGUGUACCGUAGAGGGCAGAAGCAGCUGACGAGGAUGUUCCUCAGGGAGGCGGAACGUCUUCUGGAGCUGUCCGCGGAGGAGCAGAUAUAG
rnacentral:rRNA from 1 species